rnacentral:rRNA from 1 species
ACGGGUGAGUAAUGCUUAGGAAUCUGCCUAUUAGUGGGGGACAACAUUUCGAAAGGAAUGCUAAUACCGCAUACGUCCUACGGGAGAAAGCAGGGGAUCUUCGGACCUUGCGCUAAUAGAUGAGCCUAAGUCGGAUUAGCUAGUUGGUGGGGUAAAGGCCUACCAAGGCGACGAUCUGUAGCGGGUCUGAGAGGAUGAUCCGCCACACUGGGACUGAGACACGGCCCAGACUCCUACGGGAGGCAGCAGUGGGGAAUAUUGGACAAUGGGCGGAAGCCUGAUCCAGCCAUGCCGCGUGUGUGAAGAAGGCCUUAUGGUUGUAAAGCACUUUAAGCGAGGAGGAGGCUACUUUAGUUAAUACCUAGAGAUAGUGGACGUUACUCGCAGAAUAAGCACCGGCUAACUCUGUGCCAGCAGCCGCGGUAAUACAGAGGGUGCAAGCGUUAAUCGGAUUUACUGGGCGUAAAGCGCGCGUAGGCGGCUAAUUAAGUCAAAUGUGAAAUCCCCGAGCUUAACUUGGGAAUUGCAUUCGAUACUGGUUAGCUAGAGUGUGGGAGAGGAUGGUAGAAUUCCAGGUGUAGCGGUG